rnacentral:misc_RNA from 1 species
GAAAUGCGAUAAGUAAUGUGAAUUGCAGAAUUCAGUGAAUCAUCGAAUCUUUGAACGCACAUUGCGCCCGCCAGUAUUCUGGCGGGCAUGCCUGUUCGAGCGUCAUUACAACCCUCAGGCCCCCGGGCCUGGCGUUGGGGAUCGGCGGAAGCCCCCUGCGGGCACAACGCCGUCCCCCAAAUACAGUGGCGGUCCCGCCGCAGCUUCCACUGCUUAGUAGCUAACACCUCGCAACUGGAGAGCGGCGCGGCCACGCCGUAAAACACCCAACUUCUGAAUGUUGACCUCGAAUCAGGUAGGAAUACCCGCUGAACUUAAGC